CUGGCUGUAAACGGUGAGCACUAGGUGUGGGGGGUAUCGACCCCCCCCGUGCCGCAGCUAACGCAAUAAGUGCUCCGCCUGGGGAGUACGGCCGCAAGGUUGAAACUCAAAGAAAUUGACGGGGGCCCGCACAAGCGGUGGAGCAUGUGGCUUAAUUCGAUGAUACGCGAGAAACCUUACCCAGGCUUGAACUGCAGGGUAAUCCCCUGGAAACAGGGGGUCCUUCGGGGACCCUGUAGAGGUGC
rnacentral:rRNA from 1 species